rnacentral:rRNA from 1 species
GUGGCCAUGACGAACCCAAACAACGGCGCAGCGGCGCCAAGGAUUUUUGUAAUGGGAAUGCCACCUCGUAGAGUUCUCUUGUGCAGCUUUUGAGGUUGGCGUCUUUUCAAUAAAAAUGACUCUUGGCAAUGGAUAUCUCGGCUCUUGCAUCGAUGAAGAACGUAGUGAAAUGCGAUACUUGGUGUGAAUUGCAGAAUCCCGCGAACCAUCGAAACUUUGAACGCAAGUUGCGCCUCAAGCCACUAGGUUGAGGGCACGUUUGCUUGGGUGUCAUGCAUUAUGUCUUCCCUCUCGUGUCUUGAAGUGGGAGUAGAUCAUGGCCUCCCGGGCCCGUCCUCGGGCGUGGUUGGCCGAAAGUAAUGUCCUUGACUUUUGUUGAUGUCUUGGCGUGUGGUGGAUGUACCAAGUGUGCAUGACAGUGGCCUGCCUUGCUUGACUUCAUUGUGGGCUUGAGAUCCUAUGAAGC